rnacentral:lncRNA from 1 species
UCUUCUCAUGUGCUUGUUGGCCAUUCAUACAUCCUCUUUGGUGAAAUAUCUAUUCAAAUUCAUUGCCCAUUUUAAAGUUUAUUUAUCUUUUUAUUGAAUUGUGAGAGUUCUUUACAUAUCCUAGAUACAAGUCCUUUAGUAGAUAUGUGAUAUUUGCAAAUGUUUUCUUUCAGUUUGACUUAUCAUUUUUUUUAGUUAAUUUAUCAUAAAUGUAAGCGUUUAUUUCUGGGUAAAUAAAGGGUUAUAAGGGUUUAUUUCUGGGUUAGUACAGAGUUCUCCUUUUUCAGUGUUCUCCUUUUUCAGAAUCGUUUUGCCUAUUUUGGGUCCUUUGCAUUUUCUUAUAAAUUUUAGGGUCAGCUUGUCAAUUUCUGCAAAAAACACCUCCUGGGAGUUUGUUAGGGAUCGAAUUGAAUAUAUAGAUCAAUUUGGAGAGAACUGCUCCUUUAACAUUCUGGAGUCUUCCAAUCCACGAAGAUAAACUCUCUCUCCAUAUAUUUACACCUUUUAAAAUUGCUUUCAGCAAUAUUUUGUAGACCUCCUUGUACAAGUCUUGCACUAUUUUUAUUCCUCAAUAUUUACUUCUCUUUGAUGUGAUUGUAUGCAAUGUUAUUUUAUUUAUUUAUUUUUUACUAGGGUAUAAUUGACAUAUAACGUUACCUUAGUUUCAGGUGUGCAACAUAAUAAUUUGAUAUUUGCGUAUAUUGUAAAACGUUCACCAUGACAAGUCUAGCUAACAUUUGUCACCAAAGAGCACUCUGAUCAUGUUGGACCACAGAGAAGACUGAGGGAAGGGACAAUACCUAAUUCAUCUCCCUUUUCCCAGGACCGAGCAGAGAGCCAGGCACAGACUAGAUGCUCCGUGUGGUAGCCACUAGUGCUGGCCACCAAAUAUUUCUUUCUUCUCCUGUUGCACUUCCUUGCUCCUUCAAGUUAGUUGUGGCCAAGUGACUUGCUUUCAUCAACAAAAUGUGAAUGGAUGUGAUAUGCGUCACUCCUGAGCAGAAACUUUAAAAGUCAGUGAGCAACUUAACCAUACUCUUAAUCUUGGAGGAGGUGGCUGGCUGCACCAUCACACUGGACCCUGCAGUGAGAAUGACAAGGACAUGCCACUCUAUAGCCAAUUGACAUGUAGAGUGAGCAAGAACUACAGGCUGAUUUAAGCUGCUUAGAUAUUGGCAUCGUUUGUUACUGCAGCAUAACCUAACUCAUCCUGACUAUUAUGUGGAUAAAUGUUUGGUGAAAAAAAUGAAUGGAACUAAAGAGCAGAACAUUAAAUUCUCUGUCUUUUCUGAUUAAAACUAUGAAAAACAAUGUCGGAAUAUGGGCUGUAAACUUAAGGAAAUGAGGAAAUUAAAGCCAGCUAGAUUGUUA